UUUGUUUUGUUUUGCUUGCUUUCCCCCUGCAUAGAAAUUUCCCUUAAGGGAAGGGUGGGUCUAAACUACCUUUAAAAUGAGUUUCCACUCCCUGAACAAGGCUUGUAAAAGCUUGAGAGAAAAUGCCAGGGGAAAGCAUGGAAACUUUCUGGGGAUAAACUAUGGGUCUCCACCUUUGCACUUAAUCAGGGGACAGCCACUAACCCCAGUAGCUGCAUGCUUUCUGCCACCUUCAUCUACCUGAGCAAAACUUCAAGGACAUGUUUAUGCUGAAUCUCCAGAGAGAGCAAUAGAAGCCCAGCUUGAGGGAAAUGACUGGACCUUGAUUACUUAGGAUAAAAAGAGAUCAAUUUAUGGGACCAUUUCAGUAGAGCCUUUUAAGACACAUGUUUUGGAAUACAGUCAAAUGCGUGCUGCUGUAUGACCAGCCUAUUUGAUUAUGCCUCCAAAUCCUACAGAAGUAUAACAACCAUAGAACAGACAAACACCAACAGCAUCAACAACAGAGAAACUCAGUCCAGGAGGAUAUGAAACCCUUUGUAAUAAAGAAAGCAACAUCCAUGAACAUUUGUGUACAUGUGUCUUUAUGGUAGAAUGAUUUCUAUUCCUUUGAGUAUAUACCCAGCAAUGGGAUUGUUG
rnacentral:lncRNA from 1 species